rnacentral:rRNA from 1 species
GACGAACGCUGGCGGCGUGCCUAAUACAUGCAAGUCGAGCGAGCUUGCCUAGAUUUUGUUGGUGCUUGCACCGGAGAAAACUAGAUACAAGCGAGCGGCUGACGGGUGAGUAACACGUGGAUAACCUGCCCAAGAGGCUGCGAUAACACCUGAAUACAGUUGCUAAUACGGUUUAAUAACACUAGACGCAUUUCUAGACUUUAAAAGAUGGUUCUGCUCUGCCUUUUGGAGUGGCUUGCGUAGCAUUAGCUAGUUGGUAAGGCAACGGCUUACCAAGGCAAUGAUGCAUAGCCGAGCUGAGAGACUGAUCGGCCACAUUGGGACUGAGACACGGCCCAAACUCCUACGGGAGGCAGCAGUAGGGAAUCUUCCGCAAUGGGCGCAAGUCUGAUGGAGCAACGCCGCGUGAGUGAAGAAGGGUUUCGGAUCGUAAAGCUCUGUUGGUAGUGAAGAACGAUAGAGGAAGUAACUGGCCUCUAUUUGACGGUAAUUACUUAGAAAGCCACGGCUAACUACGUG